rnacentral:rRNA from 2 species
UAACGNUGGNGGCGUGCUUAACACAUGCAAGUCGAACGGUGAUGUCAGAGCUUGCUCUGGCGGAUCAGUGGCGAACGGGUGAGUAACACGUGAGUAACCUGCCCCCGACUCUGGGAUAACUGCUAGAAAUGGUAGCUAAUACCGGAUAUGACGAUUGGCCGCAUGGUCUGGUCGUGGAAAGAAUUUCGGUUGGGGAUGGACUCGCGGCCUAUCAGGUUGUUGGUGAGGUAAUGGCUCACCAAGCCUACGACGGGUAGCCGGCCUGAGAGGGUGACCGGCCACACUGGGACUGAGACACGGCCCAGACUCCUACGGGAGGCAGCAGUGGGGAAUAUUGCACAAUGGGCGAAAGCCUGAUGCAGCAACGCCGCGUGAGGGAUGACGGCCUUCGGGUUGUAAACCUCUUUUAGUAGGGAAGAAGCGAAAGUGACGGUACCUGCAGAAAAAGCACCGGCUAACUACGUGCCAGCAGCCGCGGUAAUACGUAGGGUGCAAGCGUUGUCCGGAAUUAUUGGGCGUAAAGAGCUCGUAGGCGGUUUGUCGCGUCUGCUGUGAAAUCCCGAGGCUCAACCUCGGGUCUGCAGUGGGUACGGGCAGACUAGAGUGCGGUAGGGGAGAUUGGAAUUCCUGGUGUAGCGGUGGAAUGCGCAGAUAUCAGGAGGAACACCGAUGGCGAAGGCAGAUCUCUGGGCCGUAACUGACGCUGAGGAGCGAAAGCAUGGGGAGCGAACAGGAUUAGAUACCCUGGUAGUCCAUGCCGUAAACGUUGGGAACUAGAUGUGGGGACCAUUCCACGGUCUCCGUGUCGCAGCUAACGCAUUAAGUUCCCCGCCUGGGGAGUACGGCCGCAAGGCUAAAACUCAAAGGAAUUGACGGGGGCCCGCACAAGCGGCGGAGCAUGCGGAUUAAUUCGAUGCAACGCGAAGAACCUUACCAAGGCUUGACAUAUACCGGAAACGUGCAGAGAUGUGCGCCCCCCAAGGUCGGUAUACAGGUGGUGCAUGGUUGUCGUCAGCUCGUGUCGUGAGAUGUUGGGUUAAGUCCCGCAACGAGCGCAACCCUCGUUCUAUGUUGCCAGCACGUAAUGGUGGGAACUCAUAGGAGACUGCCGGGGCCAACCCGGAGGAAGGUGGGGAUGACGUCAAAUCAUCAUGCCCCUUAUGUCUUGGGCUUCACGCAUGCUACAAUGGCCGGUACAAAGGGCUGCGAUACCGUAAGGUGGAGCGAAUCCCAAAAAGCCGGUCUCAGUUCGGAUUGAGGUCUGCAACUCGACCUCAUGAAGUCGGAGUCGCUAGUAAUCGCAGAUCAGCAACGCUGCGGUGAAUACGUUCCCGGGNCUUGUACACACCGCCCGUCAAGUCAUGAAAGUCGGUAACACCCGAAGCCAGUGGCCUAACCGCAAGGAGGAGCUNUCGAAGGUGGNNNNNNNNNNNNNNNNNNNNNNNNNNNNNNNNNNNNNNACAGGAAGGUGUGGCUGGAUCACCUCCUUUCU